UCAGUGGCGCUUCCUGUCCUGGGGAGCUUGGAAGGGCGGGGCGGGCCGGCGGGGGGUGUCUCUCCUUCGUGUAACCUCAGUACGUUAGCUGGUAGGCUUCUUAGGGACAGGCCUCUGAGAGGAGCCACUCCAGUGUGACCUGAAAGGAUAUUUAGGAGUCGAAAAGAAGGAUGUAGAAAGAGGAUACUGGGUGAUGAGGCCGGACUGUGACAGUCUCCAAGGCCAGCUAGGGAGUGAAUAUCCAGAUGACAAUGGAAACCAUCUGGAAUUCAUGGGUUGUUUUCUUCCUCUUGAUCAGACUAGAGACGCCUCAACAGCAGGACCUUGUACAACUUGUCCUGUCCCCUGGGCUGGUCUUUAGCAGGACCUCAGGGACUGAUGUUUGGGCUGAGUUCUCCAUGGUGCUCUGAGCAGUUCCUUCAUCUGCACUUCCAAAGGGCUUCAUCAACCACCAGUCUUCAAGGCAACCCAGAGGAACCUUUGGUUGUAGCUCCUGCGCAUUUAGAGAGGCUCAGGGUCCAAAGAUGGCGACAGGCAGGGAUGAAGAAGAAUGGCAAAAUUUGCAAGAGGAAGCAGAGAGUGAAGAAGGAUGACUGAGGUGCUGCUGAGCCCUGUCUCACCUCCCGGUGAGUAUCAGUUCAGGAAAUUGGCUCCCUGUCUCCACUCUUCCUCUGGGAUGGGAAAACAGAACCGAAGAGGAAGGAAGGAAGAAACAGAAGGCUUUCCUCCUGGCUGAGCUUUGUUGACACCACCCACUAACAUGGGGAAUAAGAUAUUUCAGGCUGGUAUGAGGUUACAGAUGAGACCCAUCUGUGUCCUGCACAGCAGCCCACCUGGAUUGGCCUGGAUGAUCUUUCUUGUAUAUGAGGGUUUUCCACACUCACCUAGAAUUCACUAGCAUUGACUGUUCUUGAUAAGUAAAUAAACAAAUCUCUCA